AUGCAUCCGGAACGGCAAACCAUUCGCAAUCGCCUGGGCCAAUGUUUAUAUUGAUGGAGCAAAAAUUGUUGUUCUCUUGAUGUCCUGGAGUUCGACUUCCCGGCACUUUCAUAUAUAACUGCACGGUAUUCAUUCCCAAAAUAACAUGACCUACAUGUGACAGCAUGUUGGCUGCGGAAAUGACGCGCGCAAAUGCAGCUUUUUCCGCUUUCCAGUGACAUUUGAAUUACUAACAGAAUCCUUUGAAUCUGAGUCAGACAUUGUUUGCAGGCCCGCGGGACCUUUAUCCUGUUCAUCCUGGAAACGAAAAUCGGAUUAUAACUUCACACCAAUAGUUAAACAUAGAACGAUUGAGGACGGUUAAAUAACACAUACAGCAAAAUUUUCAGUUAAUUAUAUCUCAUCAUCAUUCUUUAUGUAGAACGAAAGUUAUUGUAAAUUGAUAUCAUCACAGGUGACAGAAAUUUAUAAAAAAGAUCUAUUGUUUUAAAGUG